CUUUGGAUCAGUCUCUAUAAAAGGAAAAUAUUCUGUUAGCUGUAGACAUACCACUUUCCUGUCCCAAGCCUACCAGAUGACGACCUGAGGAGGACGUCUACCACCCGUCUAAUCUGACAUGUGGAAUUGCGUGUUCUCAAGAACACAGGUACAAACACUGUGAUGGGGCAAGACCAGAUGGCUACAGUAAAGUAGUAAGGAACAGCACCUUGCUGCCCCAGACAACAUCAGUAGAAAUGGAUCUCUCCUCUC